rnacentral:lncRNA from 1 species
GUGAGCUGUGGUGUAGGUCACAGACGUGGCUCAGAUCUGGCAUUGCUGUGGCUAUGGGGUAGGCUGGCAGCCAUAGCUCCGAUUCGACCCCUAGCCUGGGAACCUCCAUAUGCCGCGGGUGUGGCCCUAAAAGGACAAAAGACAAAAAAAAAAAUAGCUCUGGGAAGUAGGGAUACAGAUAUUGGAAUCUUGCCAAGAAUUAUAGCUGGUAAACCUCAAGGUAUUUGGAUUGUGAUGCUGAAAGAGCUGCACCUCAGAGUCAGAGUGAAGGAGAUCUAGACACUCUCACAAGGGCUUCAGUUUAACUUUGAGUAAUCUCAAUCACUAGAAGUUGAAUUAAGGUAAUUCCAGAGUUUUAAUGCCCCUAGGUGCCUUGCAGGGACAAACACAAAUUCUUUUAGGAGAGAAAUAAUAUCAGCCUCAAAUUAUUUCUGAAGUUUUGUAAAUUACCAUAUCUAUCACAGAAUAGAAAACUACCAAGUACACAAGAAGACAAAAUUCACAAAAACCAUCAGAAAUGGCAGACAAUAGAAAAAGACUCUAUUGGACAUUGGAUUUAUCAUACAUAGAUUUAAAAUAAAUAUGCUUAGUAUGCUUAGUAUGCAAUAUAGAGAAUUUCUGCUGAUAAAUGGAAAUUAUAAAAAAGUAUAAAACAGAAAUUCUAGAACUGAAAAAUAAAAUAAUCUCAAUUAAGAACGGAAUGGAGAGAUUUAACAGAUAAAGAGAACAUUAUUGAACAGGAAGGUAGGUUGGAAGAAACUUCCAUUAAAAAUGCCAGUCAGAAAAAGAUGAAAAAAAUUAAGAGUGGGUAAUAGAGAAUACAGAGAGAAGGUGUUACAUAUGUGUAUUUUAAAUUCAAGAACAGAGGAGAGACUGAAUGAGGCAGAAGUAAUAUCUGAAGAAAUAAUGGUUGGCAGUUUUAUGAAACAUUCCAAAACAUCAAGCUACCUAUUCAAGAAGCCCUUCAAAUUUCAAGCAGGAUAAAAUUUAGGAUUAGAAAAUGUAGAUACACACACACACACAAUGGAAUAUUAGCCAUUAACAAAGAAUGAAAUAUGCCAUUUGCAGCACAUGGAUGGAUCUGGAGAUGGUCAUACUAAGUUAAUCAGACAAUGAAAGACAAACACCAUAUGAUAUUACUUAUCUCAGUGGUUAACGAACCCAACUAGUAUCCAUGAGGUUGUAGGUUAGAUCCCUGGCCUUGCUCAGUGGGUUAAGGAUCUGGUGUUGCCAUGAGCUGUGGUGUAGUUCGCAGACACGGCUCAAAUCUGGUGUUGCUGUGGCUUUGGUUUAGGCCAGCAGCUAUAGCUCCAGUUUGACCCCUAGCCUAGGAACCUUCAUAUGCCACGGGUGAGGCCUUAAAAAGAAAAAAAGAAGAAGAAGAAGAAGCAUCAAGCAUGGGCUUUUAAAUAAUUGUGAUUAAUAUAUUCAAGAAAACAGAGGGCAAGAUAGACAUUUUCACUCAAGAACUGAAAAGUGAGGGGAAAAGAAUUAAGUGGAAAUUCUCUAAAAACUAAAAAAUUGCUAUAGUGACUUUCAGUUUCAGCACCAACAUAUAAAGACCUUGAAAAUCUUUGUUAGUCUUCUCACAAUAAGAAAAAUGUUGACCAAAUAGAAAAUCAACUUUUCUAAGAUCUGUCAGAGAAUUGAGGUCACAGGGCAAACCACGACUCCCAGAGUCUGGAGGUACAGGAAGAAUUAUAGCUAUGAUUAGCUUACUUGAAGCGGAAAGCUCAGGAGCCAGUUACUGGUCAGAAUGCUUAGUUAUUUUGAAUUGCUAGAGGGUGAGUUUGGACUAACUUAAGAGUUAAAAAAUCUAUGGGCAAGGGCACUUUUGGGGGGAUCAUCACAUUUUCAUUGUUUUUACCUGAAGGAACCAACAGGUUCUCAUGAUAAAGAUUGGUGAAAAUUUCUCUCAUGCUCCUGUCAGGGGGAAGGGAAACUAACCAUUCUGAAUUAUGCCCAGGGGGAAAAUAGUCAUUUUGAAAUACAUCCAGAGUGUUCUCCACAACAAAGUCUAUCCUGAAAGGGAAACUACUUUAAGGGCCUUAUCUGACCUGAGGGAAAAACACUGGCUGGCUCCAGCUCCAUCUAGACUUCCUGUCUCAUGUAAAGGGAGAAAAAAAGCACCAUUAAUCAACUGGAUCUAAUUAACAUUUGUCAAAUAUUUAAUCCAACAACACCAAAAAAUACACAUACUUCUUAGGCUCAUAUAAAAUAUUAACCAAGAUAGACUACAUUUAAGUCAUAAAACACAUAUUAACAGGUUUAAAAGAGUAGAAAGCAUACAAAGUAUUCUCUCAGAUCACAUGGAAUUAAACUAGAAAUCAAUAACAGAAAGCUGCAAAAUAUUUGGAGAUUAAACAACACACUCCUAAAUAAAACAUGGGUCAAAGACAAAGUCUCAAAAGAAAUUUUUUAAUACUUUGAAAUAAAUGAAAAUGAAAAUACAUCUUAUCAAAAAUUAUGGGAUCUAGUGAAAAGUGCCUAGAGAAAAUUUAUGGGAUAUAAUGCACAUACAAAUUUCCCCUGCUUUUUAAAAAGACAUUGAAGAUGCUACUUAUUUUUUUGGCUAUACCGUGGCAUGUGGAAUUUCCAGGGCCUGAGCUCCAACCCGAGCCAAAGCAGUGACAACACCAAAUCAUUAAACAUUAUACAGGGAAUUUCAUAAGGUAUUUUUUUCCCAUGGCAUGUGGAAAUUCCCAGGCUAGGGAUCGAACCUGUGCCAAAGCAGGGACAAUGCCAGAUCCAUAACCUGUUGAGCCGCCAUGGAACUCUGAUUUUUUUUUUUCUCCUGCCUUUUGAAAGUUUGCUUUAUGCUCCUUCUUUUUUUACAAAUCACCUACAUUUAGUACCUGUUUUCACUAACUGAAAGAAAUCCAAAGAUAAUUUUUGCUAUUAUGAAAAAAGGUUAAAAGAGAAAAUAGCUUUCAGCAUGUUUUGCAGCACGCUGAGCUAUUACGGAGGCAGUGUGUACUGUGAGCAGCAAGAGUAGCACUACCAAGCUCCUUCCCUGUGAACUACACUCAGCAUCAAGCCACCAUAGCCUUGAACUGUGUCUGUAGGCCUCUGUGCUUUAUCUCCACUUAUUUUGUGCAUCCAUUAACAACAUCUGUUCUAAGGUAACUGUUUCUUCACUUUAAGCCAUUUUGGCUUGUGAAAGUUUUCACAGGAACACUCUACUUUUGGGCAGCAAGAGAAAUCUUUAUUAGAAAACAAAAAGGAGGGAAGAUGUGGCCAAGAGAGUGGAGUAGGAGGCCUCUGAACUCACCACCUCCCACAGGUGCAUCAAAAUUACAACUAUUUACAAAGCAACUAUCAAGGAGAAUGACCUGAACUCUAGUAGAAAACAUUUUCCACUACUGAAGAUAUAAAGAAAGAACAACCAUGAGAUGGGUAGGAGGUGCAAGUGCACAGUAUAGCCAAGACCCACACCCUUGCAUAGGUGACCCACAAAUGGGAGCAUAAACACAAUCACAGAGGUUCUCCAUAUGGUACAAGGGAUAUGAGCCCCAUAUUGGGCUCCCCAGCUGAGGGUCUUGGCACUAAGAAGACAAGCAUCCAGAAUGUCUGACUUGGAAGGCAAGUGGGGUUUGCAAACAGAAGACCCUGAGGGCCAAUGAAACAAUGAUUCUGCUCUUAAACCUGAUGGCAGCUAUUUUGGGGAGCUAUGAGGACACUGGUACUAAUAAGCACCAUCUUUGAGUCCUCUCUGUAGUCUUUUAAUGCCAUGGGCUUGCCCACCCACCAGCAGGCAGGCAUCAGUCCUGGGACACCACAGGGACCCAGCCCCACCCACCAGUUAGCUGGCAUCAGCCCCCAAACCCCUCAGGCCAUGCAUCCAGCUGUACCAGGACCUAGCCCCACCUAUCAAUAGGCUGGCAGCCACCACAAGAGGCUGGGCGUGGAAGCCAACCAUGCCAAGGGCUGGCCCAAUCUAUCACAUGCCCACAAUAGUCAACCCUAUAACAACAGAAGGGCUCAUAUAUCCCACAAACAGGGUACCUCUAGAGCAUAAAACUCUGGUGACCAGAAGGAAGGGCACUGCUGAGCCCUAUAGGACAUCUCCUACAUAAGGCCACUUUUCCAAGAUUGGAAAACAUAACUACCUACUGAAUACAUAGAAAUAGAGAGUUAGGCAAAAUGUGGUGACAGAGGAAUAUGUUCCAAAUGAAGGAAUAAGACAAAACCCCAGAAGAAAAACUAAGUGAAGAGAGUAAUCUAUUUGAUACAGCAUUCGAAGUAAUGAUCAUAAAGAUACUCACUGAACUUGGGAAAAUAGAUUAAUACAGUGAGAAUUUCAACAAAGGGGUAGAAAAUAUAAGAAUCAGAGCUAAAAAAUAUAGUAACUGAAAUAAGGGAGUUCCCAUUGUGGCACAGUGGAAAUGAAUCUGACUAGGAACCAUGAGGUUGUGGGUUCAAUCCCUGGCCUCGCUCAGUGGGUUAAGGAUCUGGCAUUUCCGUUAGCUGUGGUGUAGGUCACAGACACAGCUCAGAUCCCACGUUGCUGUGGCUCUGGCGUAGGUCGGCGGCUACAGCUCCAAUUCGACCCCUAGCCUGGGAACUUCCAUAUGCCACGGG